UACGUAGGCUGCAAGCGUUAUCCGGAAUUAUUGGGCGUAAAGCGUACGCAGGCGGUUUGUUAAGUUGGAUGUUAAAGCCCUGAGCUCAACUCAGGACAGGUGUCCAAUACUGGCAGGCUAGAGAUAGGCAGAGGUAAGUGGAAUUCUGUAUGUAGGGGUAAUAUCCGUAGAUAUACAGAGGAACACCAAAAGCGAAGGCAGCUUACUGGGCCUUUUCUGACGCUCAUGUACGAAAGCGUGGGGAGCAAACGGG
rnacentral:rRNA from 1 species